GGGCGCUUUCACCCCGUCUGUUCCACCCCGUCUGCACACACACGGUUGAGGAGAGACCGGCAGAGAUGCAGAGCCAGCAUCUGUUUUGACUCUGACUGUGGGAGAUUCACCUCAGGUUUCUUCCACCAGAGCACUAAAUAAAUGUGAAAAACCAGGAAGUUCAACCGGACAGUCGUGUGAACAAUCCGAUGGUGCUUUUGCCUGAUCAGCUACCAUUUUGAAUA